CACCAGAGCUACGUCACACAGACGAAAGUCGCAUGACGUUGUCUCAGAAAAGCAGAAAAUUAGUCAGGCAAAACGUUUGGAAAAGUAGUUUUGAAAGGGACAGUCCUUGGAAGUAGCUCUGGGAAAAAUCAUACCACGGGGCGUACAAGAAGAACCGGAAGCAGGGCUUUCUUCCCGUUCUACUGCAUUUUACCUGUACAAGUGCUGUUAAAUACAAGUUGGCCUAUGUGUCCGCGAUGGCGUUGAGGAAUGCCCAUCCGCUGAUUUCCUCUUUCUGAAAAGCCUACCAAAUCUGCAUCUGAUUCCUGUGUCCAGUUGCUUUCUUCAGUUGCAAUGGUUCCUCUUUCUGCCUAUCUGGAGCUGGGCUCAUAUAAGUAGAAUAUGUCUAUCACUCAUUCACACACAAACACACACUUCCACAAACACACCUAUAAAACAUUUGAGAGAUUUCUUGGAAGACAACAGCACAACAAAGAACAAGAGGAGGAAACAUAGAGGUGGUGGAGGGCAAAAAAGUCUUUCUCACUCUGUACACAUUAAUGAACUGAUCAGAUUGACCAGAGCCAAGCUGAUUUGCUCUUCAUAGAAAAGAGAUUGAAAACAGAAGAACAAACCACAAUAAAAGCUCAAGAUGGGUUAAAAUUGCCUGGAAAUCAAGUGGCAGAGACUGGCAGAAGUGUGACAGAAGUGACAGAAGACAUGAGGAGUGAAUAACUGAAUGGAGGCUCAUGUCUGAGGGAAUGAUUGGCUCUUGGAAGGGUUUUUUCUCGGAUCCUGCUAUCCCACCUAUCUACCAAUCCCACCACACCCAGCAGCUGGUCCUCUUGAAGCAAUCAUCCUUAUCAUCACAGGAGAUGGCAUAACAAUAGAGGGGGCAACUGACGUCAAGGGAGUACACGUGAGCCUAGCACCUUAGCCUCCGUAUGCACACCCGCCCUUAGACAAACACACGUGAACACACAACCUCAGCUAAAGAAAGGACACCAAAAAAAAUGGGAUGCUGAACCAGGUAUUCCCUCCUUCGCAGCCAAAAUGAUCUCACCCUUCCUCUUCUCAUCCCUCAUCCCACCAUCCUCACUUUGCACACUCUCCCUCUGUUUGCGAGGUUGCGUUUGGGUUGCUAGUAGCAGCCCGGCCUGGCACAAGGUUGCGACUACUGAACAGCUGCCAGCAUGUCUUUCGUAGCUCUCAGUACAGUGGAGAUAUCUAGCUCUUGGUAACCACACUCAAAGGAAUCCUUUCUUCUCCUUCUGCAUCUGUGUUUUUAGGCAAAUUGUUCCUAAAACCAAGUGGAUCUUUGUUCUGUGUUUGCAGGUUAAUUUGCAGCAUCUAGUACCCAAAAUGCUUUGAAACACAACAGAAUAGUUUUCUCUUUCUGUGAUAUUCAAUGGCAAGUGCACAGGACACCCAAUCACAGA